UUUUCAAACUGCUACGACAGAUUAAUUUUUCGUUUUGGGAAAGUAUUCAUAGCAUUAACUUAAUGCUACCAAGAAAAAUAAGCAAGCGGGAAAAGAAAAACACUGAUGCCGCCUAUACUUGGUAAAAUUUCGACAACCGCGAAGUGCUUAAUUAGUUCCCUCUUUGCUUUAAGACUUAGACUACAUAAGGAAAAAAAAAUCAGUCUUCGCACAGAAAAUAAAAAAAAAGUUAUUAGAGUCACGGAGAAAACUCUCUCGAGAACAAACCCUAAUCUCGUCACCGUUACCCUAUCUCCAACCGACGAAACUCUCUGUCGAUACCUUGAAACCCGAUUUUGUGCUCUGUAGCUCAAGCUUAGUUGAAAAGAGGAGGAUGGUCUGAAGUUGUGAACGGAUCCAAGCUCAGUUGAAUCAGACGAGGAAAAAAUCUGACUCUUCACCAUCCGCGAGAGGCGAACACAGUUCCGAGCUUCCCUUCCUCGGUAGGGGAGGCGGAGAAGAAUGAGGAAUAGGAUGACGGCGGUGAAGAUAUAGAUUGUGGUUGAGUAUGUUCCAGAGCAGCCCGAGUUUGAAGAUGGUUUUAAUGUUGAGUUCAAGCAAAUCUUUGAGAAGUUUAACUUCAAGGAACCUGUCUGAUUAUCUCUUUCUAAGAGACAGUUUUAGUAUCAUGGUUGAAGUUUGUAAGUUAAAUGAAGAAGUUUUACGGUUGGAGCAGAUGGUAUCUUAAUAGAGGCUUGUCAGAAUUUGAAUAUGUUCCUUCUCUUUCUGCUUGCGAGGUUUUGAGAUGCAUCGCUUUGUGUUAAGAGAAGAUCUACACAUCAGAUCCAGACUCUCUGAUUCAUCAUCUGCAAUGGCUCUUGGGUUACUUCAGAUCCUAGUUAUCAAGAAGAAGUAAGUGUACAUCUCUUAAACUUAUAGACUAUGAAGUGAAUGUAUUAUCCAUUCUUAAUUCAGAAGCUUAGACAACUGAACCUUUUUGAUUGUUUUUUUUAAUAGUAUUCAUGAUCGUUCUAUCAUUUUACCCUUGGUGUACAUGUACUGCUCAUUGGACACCAAACUCCGGAGACAUGAGUGUACUUCAAUACGAUGAAGUGAAAAUGCAGAAACGGUCGGAAUCAUGUUCCUCUAGCACAAGCGCAGUGACUGGUGAAAUGGCUUUACAUUGGGUAAAUGACACAGACUUAUGUGAUUUGUAUUUCAGAAUCCUGAUCAGGUUUAUGUUUCUUCACUCCUAUAAUAUUGAUCAUCUAUUUUGGUUUAUGUUAAAAAAGGAUCAUACUUUAUGAACAUAGGCAAUUUGUUGGCAUGUGUGAUUAUAUAGUGGUCUUGUGAGAACAUAAUUGCUAGUAACGUUGCUUAUUGAUUCCUUCCGGUCAAUUACAUAUGCUUCUUGGUCCCAAUGGCUGUGUGGAUAAUGGUACCCCCUUCUAAAGAUUUUAGUCAGUGUACUGAAUCCAAACCAGCAGAACUGUCUUUGUGUAAAAACCUUAAGAAUUUUUGUAUUUCAGAAUCCUAAUCAUCAGAUCAGUUAACGGGAGUCUGGUUAUUAAAGUGCAUCCACUACACUUUCUCUGAGAGAUACAUGCUAAGGCCAAGAAGGAAAAUGGGAUUUCAAGGUUUUGAUUUAGUUCCCCAUGUUUUCUUGUCUUUUAUAUAUUUAGUUCUGAUAUUGUAAUGAUGUUUGUGUAAGAUUUGAUGAAAAUGUUUACAUGUUUGUGGUACUGAUAUAAGUACAUUUUGGUUUAUUAAUGAAAUAUAAAUUGAAUAUUA